UAUGGAGGAUCCGAGCGUUAUCCGGAUUUAUUGGGUUUAAAGGGUGCGCAGGCGGGGGAUUAAGUCGGCGGUGAAAUUUUGCAGCUCAACUGUAAAAGUGCCUUCGAAACUGGUUUCCUUGAGUGUGGAUGAAGUAGGCGGAAUUUGUGGUGUAGCGGUGAAAUGCAUAGAUAUCACGAGGAACUCCGAUUGCGAAGGCAGCUUACUAAACCAUAACUGACGCUCAGGCACGAAGGCGUGGGGAUCAAACAGGAUUAGAUACCCCCGUAGUCCCU
rnacentral:rRNA from 1 species